GUUUAGGAAGACAAGCAGGCGAGUGUGAGAUUUGGUUAGGAAGAUAACCAGGUGAGCGUGAGAUUUGUUCAGGAAGAUAACCAGGCGAGUGUGAGGAGACGGGGUGGUGGAAGAGAGAUGCUGAAAAACUGUCGAGAAACAUGGGAUAGAAGUGGCCAAAUUGUGAUGGCUAGACGACUGGGUCAGAGCAUCUCCAAAACUGCAGCUCUUGUAGGGUGUUCCUGAUCUGCAGUGGUCAGUAUCAAUCAAAAGUGGUCCAAGGAAGGAACAGUGGUGAACCGGCAACAGGGUCAUGGGCGGCCAAGGCUCAGUGAUGCACGUGGGGAGCGAAGGCUGGCCCGUGUGGUCCGAUCCAACAGACGAGCUACUGUAGCUCAGAUUGCUCAAGAAGUUAAUGUUGGUUCUGAUAGAAAGGUGUCAGAAUACACAGUGCAUCGCAGUUUGAUGCGCAUGGGGCUGCAUAGCUACAGGCCAGUCAGGGUGCCCAUGCUGACCCCUGUCCACCGCUGAAAGCGCCAACAGUGAGCAUCAGAACUGGACCACGGAGCAAUGGAAGAAGGUGGCCUGGUCUGAUGAAUCAUGUUUUCUUUUACAUCACGUGGAUGGCCUGGUGCGUGUGUGUCGCUUACCUGGGGAACACAUGGCACCAGGAUGCACUAUGGGAAGAAGGCAAGCCGGCGGAGGCAGUGUGAUGCUUUGGGCAAUGUUCUGCUGGGAAACCUUGGGUCCUGCCAUCCAUGUGGAUGUUACUUUGACACGUACCUAAGCAUUGCUGCAGACCAAGUACACCCUUUCAUGGAAACAGUAUUCCCUGGUGGCUGUGGUCUCUUUCAGCAGGAUAAUGCGCACUGCCACAAGCAAAAAUGGUUCAGGAAUGGUUUGAGGAGCACAACAACGAGUUUGAGGUGUUGACUUGGCCUCCAAAUUCCCCAGAUCCCAAUCCAAUCGAGCAUCUGUGGGAUGUGCUGAACAAACAAGUCCGAUCCAUGGAGGCCCCACCUCGCAACUUACAGGACUUAAAGGAUCUGCUGCUAACAUCUUGGUGCCAGAUACCACAGCACACCUUCAGGGGUCUAGCGGAGUCCAUGCCUCGACGGGUCAGCAAAAGGGGGACCAACACAAUAUUAGCAAGGUGGUCAUAAUGUUAUGCCUGAUCGGUGUAUAUAUUCUCUUUCUCUCUCUCCGAUAUGAGGGCCUGAAAUAAACAUGUUAGCAUUUGUGGGCUAUGCAUAUCUCAGGAUCUUUUGCACCACUAAGCAGCAUUUCCUUUGUUUAGGAUAUGAAUGUGAUGGAGAAGGAUCAUGCCCUGGUAAAAAUUACAAUGCUGGGAAGGCAAAUUUUCACAGACUAAGAAUACAAACCCAAGGGAUUAUACAAUUGAACAUUUAAAUAUUUUCUCUACCCCUUUCAUGCUCUCUUCCUAUGCUUCUUUUUAAACUCAAUCAAGUGUUGAAGUUGGCUGGAGUCCGUGGGUUGCUGUGGUAUGUGAGGUCGUAGACUAGGUUGUGACCGGACUCCACACCAGUGGUUUCUUCUGUUGAGAGUUUGUGUUUUCCCAUAGAAGCUUUUGGAUUACAGGACCAUCAGUCUGUCUCUAACUGAGUGACUAUUAAUAGUUCUCAUAUUGCUUUUGAUAAACUUCCUGAGUCAACACAGCACCAGCUGCAAGUUAUCCCUCUUAUUUGGUUCGAAAUCUGGGUGCGAUCAAAGACUAUAGAAUAACACUUAAAGGGACUUUGGUACGGUCAUUAAAAUUUGACCCUAAUUGGAUAAAAUUCACCAAAAAUCACAAACAUGAAAAAACACAAAAAAGGUAAAAAAAACAACAAACAUUUAACAAAUAACAAACAAAUAAACAUGAGAUUUUUUUUUUCAUAAACUGUGAAUAUUAACAUUAUUGUAUAAACAGUAUAAACAAUAUAAACAGUAUUGUAUUCAUUAAAAAUAACUGUAAAAUGUUAAAAAGUAUAAAAGUGUGUGUGUGUGUGUAUAUAUAUGCACACACAUACAUCAGUUUCUUCUGGUUAAAGAUGUAAAACAUCUGACUAAUGCAUAAAUGUAAAUGUACAUCUACUCUCUCAGAGGGCAGUUGAAAAACCUACACGAAACACUAAAUAUGUAUUUUUCCGACAACUCAAAAAUCUAACUGGGUCGAAAAAUCUAAAUAGGCCUUUAUUAAGCAUGUAAAUGGCAAAAGAUUAGCAAUUUCUCUUUCUUGAUCAAUAAUGAGUUUGAUAUGCACUCAAAAAACCGUUUGCUCAACGAACUUAAUGCAAAGAAAACUUUUCCCCACAAUCCACACAAAACAUGUUUAAGUCCAUUCAAACACAAUCUUUCUUGAACAAACCUAAUUAAUCAAAGUUUUUUUUAAAAACUUUCAGAAAGCUAACUGAAUUCAGCCUUUCUAAAAUAACCAAAGUUAAAAAUAAACUCUGUUGAAGCUCUUCCAGCUAAUUCAAUGGCACAUGGUAGCAAGCUAACAAGUAUCGCUCAUUGGAUAAAGCUCCUUUUAUAGUCAAUAUUGAUUAGCCCACAAGCUAGCUCCACUCUUCUCCAUAAUGAUAACCACAAAAACUACAACAUAACAAAUGUUCCUACAUUUUCAACAUAAGCGAACUUAAAACACUAAUAAAUAUUUCCCUUCCCUAAAAAAUACAUAAAAUACUCUCCCAAUUCAGUCCCAUUCAAAGCAUUCUGGAAACUGAAUCCACUGUUAAAUUUCACUUGUCAACAAACGUGAUUCAUGUAGUCUCAACACAAGCAGAUUAAGUUGUUAUAUUUUCCAAAUCGACUGCAUGUGAUGUAAUUAAGUUGACAGACAAAAUGUUUAUGAAUUGUGUUGUGAAAUUUUUUUUUUUUUUUUUUGAGUGUUGCUUGCAACCCAUUAACACAUCAAAGUUUCAAGAAUAUUUUGUAGACAAGGACAACUUCAACUUCAGUUCAACAAACUGUGCUAAGAAACCCACAUCAAUACUUUUUCAUGCUGUUGCCUGAACAGAAUCCAACAUCACAUGUGAGAGGAAAUACAUGUUUUCUUAAGACAAGGGUCAGUAAAACAAUAGAGCAGCCAUCAACAAAAUGACCUAUUGUCGCAAUCAGUUCACCGGUAUUUUCUUUCCAUCGUGACAGAAGUUUUCUUUUAAUGCUCAAGCAAGGAGCAGACAGGAGCACUUGAGGACUGUCAUUGAGUUUAAUGGUGUGGAAUUGACCCGUAGGAAUGGAAAAUAUAGCAGUUAUGUUUUGCUUUAUGCUCUAGAAGAAGGAAAUCUGUCAAAGGAAAUCUAUUCUCCAGGGCUUUGUUACUUCUAAAUAGGGGCCUCAGAUCAGUGUAGUUUGUUUAUUUUCCCAAGAGGCCCUCAGCUGAGAAUGUCUGCUUGCCUUCAAACAUAGGUUAAACGGUGUUCGACUUGCCGGCCCUGCUAAAUGCUCAGCAGAACAGCAGUUGUGGGGUCCAACAUGUCAGAUUGUUUGUGUAUUUGCAUGUGUGUGUCUUUUCCCCUUUAAAUAUUAAUGGAGGCAUUCAUAAAUUGUGUAACAGUGGCUAAUAUGGCUAUUCUUUCUCUAUUGGCAAGCAAAACCGCACCUUUUGUUCAAUAUAAGCCAUUAAUCAGUUGUAUAUUUUGACAUAAAUGGAAAUCAUAUUUGUUUAUUUGUCCAAUUUAAAUGAGCUGACAAGAUCAUUCUUUCAGUGGACAUUUCAUAUAAAUAUUUUCUCAUCAAGUCCACUUCAUGACAGAACAGACAUUCUGAUGAUUGAGCUGGGAAAUGUUUACAACCAAAUAUGUAACAAUAAAACAGACUUUAAAAUAACUAGA